rnacentral:lncRNA from 1 species
CCGGUCCGGUUUCCCCUUUGUUUUUUCCUUAUAGCCUUUUCUUUUUCUAUUUUUCUCAUUUCUUUGAUAACUUUUGAUUUUGAACUCCAAAUUGGUCCAAAUAAGUUUCAGAAAAUUUGUAAUCAUGUUCUACCAUGAUACAACUUUUGGGAGUAGUUUCCCCCCAAAAUAAAAUGCAUAAAAAUACAUUUGCCCUAUAAAUGCCUUUAAGGCUAUGUAUCUAUUCAAAUAAAAUACUUUUUCAACUCCAAAUAAUUAUACAAUAAUUAUGGGAUAGCUUAUAUAUGCAUU